GCAUAUCAAUAAGCGGAGGAAAAGAAACCAACAGGGAUUGCCCCAGUAACGGCGAGUGAAGCGGCAACAGCUCAAAUUUGAAAUCUGGCCCUUGUGGUCCGAGUUGUAAUUUGUAGAGGAUGCUUUUGGUGCGGUGCCUUCCGAGUUCCCUGGAACGGGACGCCAUAGAGGGUGAGAGCCCCGUCUGGUUGGACACCAAGCCUCUGUAAAGCUCCUUCGACGAGUCGAGUAGUUUGGGAAUGCUGCUCUAAAUGGGAGGUAUAUGUCUUCUAAAGCUAAAUACCGGCCAGAGACCGAUAGCGCACAAGUAGAGUGAUCGAAAGAUGAAAAGCACUUUGAAAAGAGGGUUAAAUAGUACGUGAAAUUGUUGAAAGGGAAGCGUUUGUGACCAGACUUGGGCUUGGUUAAUCAUCCAGCGUUCUCGCUGGUGCACUUUGCCAGCCCAGGCCAGCAUCAGUUCGCUGCGGGGGAUAAAAGAUCCGGGAAUGUGGCUCUUCGGAGUGUUAUAGCCCGUUUCUUAAUACCCUGUGGUGGACUGAGGUUCGCGCAUCUGCAAGGAUGCUGGCGUAAUGGUCAUCAACGACCCGUCUUGAAACACGGACCAAGGAGUCGUCUUCGUAUGCGAGUGUUCGGGUGUCAAACCCCUACGCGUAAUGAAAGUGAACGGAGGUGGGAGCCUCGGCGCACCAUCGACCGAUCCUGAUGUUUUCGGAUGGAUUUGAGUAAGAGCAUACGGGGCCGGACCCGAAAGAAGGUGAACUAUGCCUGUAUAGGGUGAAGCCAGAGGAAACUCUGGUGGAGGCUCGCAGCGGUUCUGACGUGCAAAUCGAUCGUCAAAUAUGGGCAUGGGGGCGAAAGACUAAUCGAACCUUCUAGUAGCUGGUUUCCGCCGA
rnacentral:rRNA from 1 species